rnacentral:rRNA from 1 species
UACGAAGGGUGCAAGCGUUACUCGGAAUUACUGGGCGUAAAGCGUGCGCAGGCGGCUUGCUAAGACAGGUGUGAAAGCCCCGAGCUUAACUUGGGAAUGGCGCUUGUGACUGGCAGGCUGGAGUGUGGCAGAGGGAGGUGGAAUUCCACGUGUAGCAGUGAAAUGCGUAGAGAUGUGGAGGAACACCAAUGGCGAAGGCAGCCUCCUGGGCCAACACUGACGCUCAUGCACGAAAGCGUGGGGAGCAAACAGG